AUGAGAGAGAACUCCCUUACCCCAGUCAGCCAAUAUGAUCGGAAAACUUCAUCUGAUCUCUGUAAAUGUAUUGAAGUCCAUCAGAAACCCUUGUUCAUUAUACGACAUCCAGGAUACGCCGCAGAAAUACAAUGUGAACACAACUCAGACUCUAACUACAUGUACUGGUAUCGACAGCAAUCAGGACGGCGGAUUGAAUUAAUCGUAUUGGCAGCAACUGGAAGCGAACCACAGUUUGAAAACGAAGCCGAGAAGGAGCGAUAUAAAAUUGUAAAAAGUGAUAUUGGUCGAGGGUCUAUCAAAGUUAAAUCGCUGCGGCCUGAUGAUAUGGCAGUGUACUUUUGCGCAGUUAGUAGACACAGUAACAAAUUAUUAUCAUGGCACCUGUCAAGAAUUCUUUACAUUAUACUGUAGGUGCGGCAAAGGUGCAAUAGUUGAAAAAUAGACGUGCAGUUCUAUUGUACUAUUCUUUGGAUAUAUAUUAAGAUGCAAAUCCUUCGACAUUUCUA